rfam:Caenorhabditis remanei strain PB4641 contig13.11, whole genome shotgun sequence.
UUAACGGCCCUCUUUAGGGCCACAAAUAUCCACAAAAUCCUAUCUU